GAUGAACGCUGGCGGCGUGCCUAAUACAUGCAAGUCGAGCGAAUGGAUUAAGAGCUUGCUCUUAUGAAGUUAGCGGCGGACGGGUGAGUAACACGUGGGUAACCUGCCCAUAAGACUGGGAUAACUCCGGGAAACCGGGGCUAAUACCGGAUAACAUUUUGAACCGCAUGGUUCGAAAUUGAAAGGCGGCUUCGGCUGUCACUUAUGGAUGGACCCGCGUCGCAUUAGGUAGUUGGUGAGGUAACGGCUCACCAAGGCAACGAUGCGUAGCCAACCUGAGAGGGUGAUCGGCCACACUGGGACUGAGACAUGGCCCAGACUCCUACGGGAGGCAGCAGUAGGGAAUCUUCCGCAAUGGACGAAAGUCUGACGGAGCAACGCCGCGUGAGUGAUGAAGGCUUUCGGGUCGUAAAACUCUGUUGUUAGGGAAGAACAAGUGCUAGUUGAAUAAGCUGGCACCUUGACGGUACCUAACCAGAAAGCCACGGCUAACUACGUGCCAGCCGCCGCGGUAA
rnacentral:rRNA from 1 species